GACUAACGCUGGCGGCGUGCCUAACACAUGCAAGUCGAACGAAGCAGCAAUGCUUAGUGGCAGACGGGUGAGUAACGCGUAGAUAAUGUGCCCUCUUGCGGGGGAUACCGUUUCGAAAGGAACGUUAAUACCGCAUAAAGUCCUUAGGAGGCAUCUCUUAGGGACCAAACUUCCGGGGCGGGAGGAGCAAUCUGCGUACUAUCAGCUAGUUGGUGAGGUAAUGGCUCACCAAGGCUACGACGGUUAACUGGUCUGAGAGGAUGAUCAGUCACACUGGAACUGAGACACGGUCCAGACUCCUACGGGAGGCAGCAGUGAGGAAUAUUGCACAAUGGCGAAAGCCUGAUGCAGCGACG
rnacentral:rRNA from 1 species